AACGAACGCUGGCGGCAGGCUUAACACAUGCAAGUCGAGCGCGUAGCAAUACGAGCAGCAGACGGGUGAGUAACGCGUGGGAACGUACCCUUUUCUACGGAAUAACGCAUGGAAACGUGUGCUAAUACCGUAUACGCCCUUAGGGGGAAAGAUUUAUCGGAGAAGGAUCGGCCCGCGUUGGAUUAGCUAGUUGGUGGGGUAAAGGCCUACCAAGGCGACGAUCCAUAGCUGGUCUGAGAGGAUGAUCAGCCACAUUGGGACUGAGACACGGCCCAAACUCCUACGGGAGGCAGCAGUGGGGAAUAUUGGACAAUGGGCGCAAGCCUGAUCCAGCCAUGCCGCGUGAGUGAUGAAGGCCUUAGGGUUGUAAAGCUCUUUCACCGGAGAAGAUAAUGACGGUAUCCGGAGAAGAAGCCCCGGCUAACUUCGUGCCAGCCGCCGCCGUAA
rnacentral:rRNA from 1 species